rnacentral:lncRNA from 1 species
GGACUGAACUUCAAGUGAGCAUCUGUGGAACUCCAGUAACUAUUAGAUGCAACAAAUUUGUUGACCUGCUAUCUUCACUCCUGCUUGUGAUCCAGCCCAGGCUGCGUAAGUCAUAUAAGGAUUAGUUGAUUUGAAAAGAUAUA